AUUGAACGCUGGCGGCAGGCCUAACACAUGCAAGUCGAACGGUAACAGGAAACAGCUUGCUGUUUCGCUGACGAGUGGCGGACGGGUGAGUAAUGUCUGGGAAACUGCCUGAUGGAGGGGGAUAACUACUGGAAACGGUAGCUAAUACCGCAUAACGUCGCAAGACCAAAGAGGGGGACCUUCGGGCCUCUUGCCAUCAGAUGUGCCCAGAUGGGAUUAGCUAGUAGGUGGGGUAACGGGUUCCCCCCCCCAAAAACCCUAGCUGGCUGAGAAGGAAAACGCGCCAUCUUGAA
rnacentral:rRNA from 1 species